GGGCGGCCUCGGUGGGCGCGGGGGGCCAGCGGCGCCGGAGAGUGGCGCGCUCGCGGAGACGUCGGUCGAGUCCGGGAUCCCGGCGGAGCAGCGACGAGGCCGCCUCGUCAGCGCCCGCGUCCUCCGAGCACGUCCAGUGUCCCCAGCCUGGCGAUCAGGUAGCGAACAGCGCAACUCCGCGACGCUUCGGCUCCCGCCUGGGACUGAGACGCCGGCGAGUUGUAGUUGUCCGACACCCGGGGGGGGACGCGCACUCGCUGUUGCAAUUGAUUACGGAAAAACCAUGACAGGUUUCUGAGAGGACACAGUGGAGGAUGGAAGCCCUGGGAUGGAAAUUUCAGAAAAGCAGCUGCUGCUCCCAGAAGAACUAAAGCUGUGUGUCCACUGACAAAGAAAGGAGGGGACUCAGUCAAUUAUUUGGAAAAUCUGAGACAAGCCUGUACUGCACAACGCACAUGAGGAUGCAGGGCUGCUCCAG
rnacentral:lncRNA from 1 species